UUGGAAAAAUUGAUCCUGGCUCAGGAUGAACGCUGGCGGCGUGCCUAAUACAUGCAAGUCGAGCGAAUGGAUUAAGAGCUUGCUCUUAUGAAGUUAGCGGCGGACGGGUGAGUAACACGUGGGUUAACCUGCCCAUAAGACUGGGAUAACUCCGGGAAACCGGGGCUAAUACCGGAUAACAUUUUGAACCGCAUGGUUCGAAAUUGAAAGGCGGCUUCGGCUGUCACUUAUGGAUGGACCCGCGUCGCAUUAGCUAGUUGGUGAGGUAACGGCUCACCAAGGCAACGAUGCGUAGCCGACCUGAGAGGGUGAUCGGCCACACUGGGA
rnacentral:rRNA from 1 species